GCCAGUGUAGUAUAGUGGUUUGAGCAAUGGACUGUUAUUCUGGAGACCAGAGUUCGAAACCCUUCUUGGCCA